GAUGGGUCUGACCUGCCUGGACAUUUCAAUCAGGAACUCUGGCUUGUCCCAGUUGAUUUCUGCUCGAUGUUGUAAGCCACCAGGUGAUAGUACAACUUUUUGUUUGCUCUCACAAUCAGGCUACACCACUUGUCUCUGAUGGAUGUCUUAAGUGUCUGCUUUGGGGUUAUUUUUCCAUCUCUCUGCUAAACACCGUUCGCUCUUUUACUUUUUCAUGCCACAUACUUAAUAAUCUCACUCAUUGAAACCUCAAAGUUCAGCCCAUUCUCUAGGAAUGAGACCUAGCACCAUACACCCACAGAACAAAUGGAUCAGGAGAGGAGAAAGAAAAGCCAACGACUAGAGGAAUUGAAAGACAGAUUUCAGCAGAGAAGGAGGAGUUCAUUCUCAGGUAGGACAUAGUGCAGCAAGAGAAGGAGGGCUCCAGACUAAGAAAAUGAGAGGUAGCUGUUUCUUCUGCUGCUUCUGACUGCUCUCUGCGAUGGUUUCAGUGAAAGGAACAGGAGAUUUAAAUGAAAAAGAGGAGAAGGAAAGGGAUAUUAAUAAAUGACUUCCAGAAAGACCAAAUUACAUAAUAGAAAGUUGAUAUGAUGUCCAUUGCGUAUUACAUGAUCCUGAAACAGAGAACACGUUGCAAUCUGAGUGUACAAAAGAGCGAGACUGGACAUGUAAGUUACCAUAACUGGGCUGUAGUAGGUGCAUUGUGCGAACAUGAUGCAGCCAUUGCUUCCUGCCUGUAUGCUGCAUUAUGACUUGUCAUGCGAGUGUCACAUUAAGAGAAAGAAUUUGCUCCUGCUGAUGCGUCUGCCCGAAUCUAGCACCUAACUGUUAUUGACAGAGUGCAGUGACAGUGACAUCCCAGUGUAUGUGAGAAAGGAGAACAUAAUAAAAAAGUAUGUAAAUAAAACCAACAUGGAGAUUCCUCCUCAAGCUAGUCAGAUUGGCUGCCAUCAAGAAAACAAUCAACUGUAUUCCUGAGGAUAGAGGAAGGAAAAUAUGUUAGUUGGAAUAUGAAUUAGAGCAGACAUUAUGGAGUCAAUAAACACAUUCUCUCUUAUGUCCCCCCUUUCCUACUAUGUGUACUAGCUACUUGGGGACUAGCUAAAGGAAAGAGUGAUGAGGGUAGGUGAGGAGGGGUGAAUGAAAUCAAAGUGGAUUGGGGAAAUGUAUGAACAGGUCAUAAUGAAAUUCAUUGCCUUGUACAAUUGAUAUACAGUAUUUCCAAAGGAAGAAAGAGGCCCUAGGAGAUGGUUUGGUGGUUCAGAAUAAUUUCUGCUCUUUCAGAAGAUUCGAGUUUGGCCCCGGUACCUGUGUCUGGUAGAUCACAAUUACCUUGUUCCAGGGGUCUGAUUCCUUCUAACCUCUAUGGACACGUGCAUACACAUAAGCAAAAUCAAUCUGUUUAUACAGGAAAGAAAAGAUUAUGCAAUUUGUGUCUGUUUCUCUGAGAGUGUUUGCUUUUCAUGCUUGAUCCACCGUGUAAGGAAUCUGCUUACACAGAGACCUCCACACUGAAGAGAUCAUAUAGAGAGCAAUCGCCUAAAAGCAUCAGGACUUUGGCAUCUGAGUCACUACAACUGACUCCAAGAGGCCUCCAAACACAGCCUCCGUCUGCACAGAACUAUACAAGAGCCCCACUGAGCCUACCGGACGUGCCCAGCUGAGCCUAGCAAAAGCUCUCUGCUCCAUGAGGAACAAAUGUGAUUGAUUAUUGCUUUAAGCUGCUACGCUUAGGGUGAAGUGGAGAGAAGAGGGAAGAAUUUCUCAACCAGUGGAUGCUUUGGCCUGUGAUGUUCCAGCCAUCCUCAAAAGAUGAGUGACUGUCUUAGUUACUGCUCUAUUGCUGUGGAGAAAUACAUACAUACAUACACACACAUACAUACAUACAUACAUACAUACACAUAUUCACAUAUUCACAUAUACACACAUAUAUGUAUAAUAAGAAAUAUAAAGACUCUUAUAAAAGAAAA